GUAGGUGAACCUGCGGAAGGAUCAUUAACACGUAUCCAACGUUAAAACCCCCCUGUGAACCUUCAGUGUGCUCGUAUGCUUUGUUAGAAAGUAGCAAUUCCUGGUAAAUCAUCGCCGAACAGUUUUGAUUCAGGAACUUCUGCGAAGAGUGUGCUUGUAGCGCGAGGCAAGUGGCCUGGCAUCCCGAAGCGGUUAAUGUCUGAAAGUGUCAUUAGCUUUCUAAGGAUGGCGCAGUCACGAUCGCUAGAGGCCAACACGGCCGGCGACCGGGUCACCGGGCUCACGCCCCCUAAUAACCUUUGCAUGAAAACGGGCCUGCGCUUAAUUGUGCGGCCAUAAACCGAACAACUGUUAACAAUGGAUAUCUUGGUUCUC
rnacentral:misc_RNA from 1 species